rnacentral:misc_RNA from 1 species
AUUUGCUUGUGUUGGUUGGUUGGAUCCUUGCUCUGGCAACGACGUCCAUCCAAGCAAGCUUCUUCAGUUGGGUCUCGUGAUACAUGCUAUCUCGAGUGUUGCCUUGGUUUCUUGUGUUGCGUACCUUAUACGAUGGCAAUCGGUAGUCUAAACAUCCCACUUCGCCUUCCGUUGCCCCUUCUUGGGUCGACGUAGGGUGAACCAUGAAGCAAUCUCUGUGUCCCAUUCCGCUCACAUUCAAUUGUGCCUGUGGACUGGUCCAUAGAGUGUUUGCUUGUGCUCUUGGAUGCGGUGCAUGAUAUUUGGGCACGAGGGCUCACGUCCUCUUUCUGUCCAAACAAAAGCUUUCAUCGCUUGNUUGCGAACNANUGCNAGCCCNGUCUCGAGCCUUUUGGCAAGUGCGGUGCUCGCUUC